AGUCAGCAAAUGAAACCGCAUUUGCGAACCCUUUUACUUGAAACUCUGAUAUUCAACAGCAGGUUGCAGUGACUGACACAGCGCUCGCCACGGCUUACAUGCUGACAGGAGACGCACAUGGACGGCCCCGGACCCCAACAGCCUUCCUCUCCACACAUACUGUCACAGAUCUGAACAGCUUUGGCCAGUAGCCGCCAUCAACAUAACAGAGUCGGCGGUUGUUUUUGACCACCACGUCGCCAUCACUGAUCUCCUUCAACGAACGCAGGCCGAGAUGUUCCAGGUGGCACCAAAGUUGUACUUCCCGUUGGGAUUGGGAACAAGUUGGUGAUUGUUGGGGUCAUACAGCAUUAGACGUGGACACGCAUCCUUGCACGUCCCGUCAUCCUGGAAGUCUCUGCAGGCCUGCAGAAGAAGAGACCGUACACAGUCUGGCAGUUCUCUGGUCCUGGAGCCCAACACGAUCCAUUAAAGCACGCUGAGUCACAUCGUAUGCCUGAGGUGUUGAAUUCCUGCAGCCAUCGUUAGGUGUCUCAUCUCUCCAGUGGAAGAGCAAAUUCUGUGGGCGGGAUAUCCGUGAUCAAGAAUGUGGUUCACAGAGGGUGAGACUCAAAUAUUGCACACA